AGUAAAAUAAGCUAAAAAAGCUUUCAGGCCCAUACCCUAAACAUGUUGGUUAAACUGCUUCUCUUACUA
rnacentral:tRNA from 1 species